UCCUACGGGAGGCAGCAGUAGGGAAUCUUCCACAAUGGGCGAAAGCCUGAUGGAGCAACGCCGCGUGAGUGAAGAAGGUUUUCGGAUCGUAAAACUCUGUUGUAAGGGAAGAACAAGUACAGUAGUAACUGGCUGUACCUUGACGGUACCUUAUUAGAAAGCCACGGCUAACUACGUGCCAGCAGCCGCGGUAAUACGUAGGUGGCAAGCGUUGUCCGGAAUUAUUGGGCGUAAAGCGCGCGCAGGCGGUCCUUUAAGUCUGAUGUGAAAGCCCACGGCUCAACCGUGGAGGGUCAUUGGAAACU
rnacentral:rRNA from 1 species